rnacentral:rRNA from 1 species
AAAGGCUAAUCAAGCCCGGAGAUAGCUGGUUCUCCCCGAAAGCUAUUUAGGUAGCGCCUCGGACGAAUACCACAGGGGGUAGAGCACUGUUUCGGCUAGGGGGUCAUCCCGACUUACCAACCCGAUGCAAACUCCGAAUACCUGUGAGUACUAUCCGGGAGACACACGGCGGGUGCUAACGUCCGUCGUGAAGAGGGAAACAACCCAGACCGCCAGCUAAGGUCCCCAAGUACCAGUUAAGUGGGAAACGAUGUGGGAAGGCUCAGACAGCUAGGAGGUUGGCUUAGAAGCAGCCAUCCUUUAAAGAAAGCGUAAUAGCUCACUGAUCGAGUCGUCCUGCGCGGAAGAUGUAACGGGGCUAAGCCAGUCACCGAAGCUGCGGAUCA